UGGACGGAGAGGAGAGAGUUGUGUUCCUGAGGGGUCGCUACGUGGAGGAAGGGCUACCGCCUGCCAGUACGUGCAAGGUGUUAGUGGAGAGCAAACUUCGAGGACGUACCCUGGAGGAGGUGGUCAUGGCAGAGGAGGAAGAUGAGGGCACGGACAGACCUGGGUCCCCAGCCUGAGGAGGGAGCGUGAGCCUCCCAGAGCCCCAGGACUGGGCCAGAGCACUUAGGUUUCUUUUUCCAUGGUUUCCAGGUAAUAAAAGGAACUUGUUUUGUUGGUACCAGU
rnacentral:lncRNA from 1 species